AGGAUGAACGCUGGCGGCGUGCCUAAUACAUGCAAGUCGAACGAGGUGCUUUUGUAGCAAUACGAGAGUAUCCUAGUGGCGAACGGGUGAGUAACGCGUUGGUGACCUACCCCAAAGUGUGGAAUAACAGUCCGAAAGGAUUGCUAAUACCGCAUGUGGUUAUCGGGCUUAGAAACUGAUAACUAAAGGAGCAAUUCGCUUUGGGAGGGACCUGCGUCCCAUCAGCUAGUUGGUGAGGUAAUGGCUCACCAAGGCUACGACGGGUAGGGGACCUGAGAGGGUGACCCCCCGACAAUGGAACUGAAACACGGUCCAUACACCUACGGGUGGCAGCAGUAGGGAAUAUUGCACAAUGGGCGAAAGCCUGAUGCAGCAACGCCGCGUGUGCGAUGAAGGCCGUUCGGUCGUAAACGCACUUUUCUGAGAGAGUGAGAAAGA
rnacentral:rRNA from 1 species